AAACAAAAUCGAUCCCCACUAAAUCCUAUGAAACUGUUUCCACUUCAACGGUGCCGUGCCGUAUUGUACAACACGGCGUAAUUUGCCGGAUUUGCAGAUCGAUCAGCAAGCCAUUUUCAGAGCACGGCACACGGUUUUUUCACUUCUGGCCAAUCACAGUCCAGAUAAAUUACGUCAUUGCCCACAUAUUUUCUGAUCAAGCGACAAAUCGCCUGCGGUGAUAGUCUAUGGGAGUUUACGUGUUAAAUGCAAACUCGCACGUACACGUAGGUCUACGUGUAUUACCUGCUGAAGAGAGGUGAAGGAGGACUUGCCAUUCUUGGUCUGAUAACCGACAUGGAGGAAGCCCUUAUCCUAGAAGUGUAGGAAAAUCCAAUCCUGUAUGACAAGAGAUUGGAGAUGUUCAAGGAUACAGAAGAAAAAACGAUGUAUGACAUGACAUUGGGCGUCAGCUUGUAAUCUCAGGUGACGUAGCGAGGUGAGGGACAACUUCCUAAAAACCGACAGAAAAUGGAGAGGAAGAGUGGUGACGGAGCUCCCUCAAACACAGCACGUAAAUACAAGUACAGUGAGGCAAUGGAAUUCCUAGUUCCUCACCUACAUAAUCGAGAAACAAGUUCAAUCUUGGAUCCUGUGUUUGAUGUGGACACACCAGGAGAAGCCUGUACCAAGCAGAAAAAAACUGAGCAGGAGAAUGGUGGGUGACAUCUGUCCACAACGUGGGUCAGGCUUCCUCGUCAUCAUCCUCAGGCACGUCCGCAACAUCAGUCCAGUCUUCAAGUCCCAACUUCACUUCAAAUCGAGGACACAAUGUUGCAGUAUUUUCAAAGCACUGAUAGUCAUGGUGACAACAUAACUGUAGAUAAAUUUUUCUCCAGCUUGUCCCCCAUUGUCCCACACUGUAAAAGUUCCCUCAAUGCCAGCUCCAUUGCUAUGAGGUUAAAUUUCGGUCGUCUGAACAUUGAACAUACUACUAUAGGAAUUAAAGUUUUUGUGUCAUCUAACUCCAAGUCGAUUCUUAUUGAUGUUAUAAACAUCUCACAAUUUAAGAAUCCAAAUAUGUUUCGUAGAUUUAAAAAAAAGUUAACAGAAAAUGCUCUAACUUGCUAUGCUCCACCGCUAAAAAGAGAGCUGAUAUCUUAUUCCCUCUGACCAUGGAGCUAAUAGCUCUAUGCUCUGACAUCACUCAAUACUCUUUCGAUUGUAACAUAAAAGAUGCAAUGUCAGACAUGCAGCAUCACCAACAAAUUAAAAGCGGUGUAUAUAUGAUUACAUCUGAAUUACUUAUGAUAAAUCCAUAUGAAAUAAAUCAUUUGCAGGAAAUCUACAACUUUAAUGAUAUCGUAUUAUAAACAACGACACCAUUAAAUGUGUUAUUCUAAUUUCCACUUGAAUUUUUCACUUUGACAUCUCCAUAGGCAGCGGAAGCGGGGACAGGUCCCCCCCUAAAUUUUUAGUUGAUAACAUUUUUUUUAUUUUUUGGCUUCCACCGCCAAUGUACAUCUCCCAUUGUUACAGUUGCAAGUCAGUCUCAAUUUGCAGAAAUUACGAUUGUGAAGGAUUAUGAUCUUCCUCUUUUGUAGAUCUGGAAAAUAUCGUCUGAGCAUGUUCACCAUUUAUUAAAAAUAUAUUUAUUUCUUAAAUUAUACUUGAAUUUAAAUUCAGGAUUUGUUCACAGAUAAGAGAAGUUGAGCAUUUUGCACAUCACAGAAAUUUGGUUCAUGCAAAUACAUGUAUUAACAUGAUCACUAGUAAUGCACUAUCAAAUAUCAACACAUGAAACCAGUUACUGUGAAAAUAAAAAUGAUGGGUACUGGACGGAACGUUUCUGGACUAAUGUUUUAUUUUGGAAACAGAGAUCUAGGAUUGUUUGAAAUAUGACAAAAUGUUAGAAACAAAAUUUCAUCUCUAAACAGAAUGGCAAUGACACUCCUGUUGCCUGUUUCAUAGAGAGGUACAACUAUCAUAACUUUGUCUUUAAUAUGGCGCAACAUCCAAUUAUAAUUGUGGUUUCCAUGGUAGUUGCCAUAAUGUUAAAGUACUUUUGAAAUGGGCCCCUGGACAUGAAGAAUACUGACAAAAGAAAGUUGAUUGUGAAAUAAAAAGAAUACAUUCAUCUUCAAGAAAUUUUUUGACACCCCAUGCAUUUUUUGUUGUUUAUAUAUCUCGUAUUAUUUUUUUCUGUAAUAAAUUAAUGAGCAUCACUUUUUUUUCAACAACAAAUAUAAUGUAGAUUGCUGAAGAACCUAAAAUAUAUUUGGAGCUGAACUAAACUCAAAAUAAAGAUGUCGACAAAAUGAA